CUGCUAGCUUAUCCAAAAGAUGGCCUCUUUCCGAUGCAUCCAUUCUUCUCCAGACCGAACCUAGAGAAAAAGCCAGGCGAGCUGCCCUCACUGCUUUGUCCGUAUCAACCUGCCAAGAAGGAAGAAAGACGCAGAGGUAAUGAAGAAUUUAUCUGCUGUUACUGGCACAAUACAGGAGCAAUAACACUUUCCCGUAGCUCAGGUUCACUGCUUUUAGUCUCCCUGAAGACCGUUUAGGCAAACAGCUGGAAGAGCUGACUACAAAGGUUCCCAGUCACAGGGAACAGCCCUAAGAAGCCCUUACCUGCUUUCCAACCAGGAAGUAAGUUAUCAAGGAUUUGUUCUGUUGCUCCUUCAAGGAGAGAAAUGAACUGAGGCAGAGAGCAAGAGCAUGAACACAUUUGUGUUUCAGCUAGAAUCCCAGCAUGAAGAGUGAUCGUCUUGGCUGGCGGGUGGAAGAGCUGCGCUGCACCAGCCACUGGGCAUGUCUGCACUGGGCUCCUGGUUGCCAUCUAAAUAGCAGGGCCUGCCUUCCCCCUCCAUGGUGGAGCGCCUUACUAAAACAAAACCCUUGAGAAGCGGACAGAAACAAUACCAGAGAUGACAACCUGGACUGCCAGCGCCAUCACUGGGCUGCACCAGUGGAGAUAGAUACUCCCCCUCCUAACAGAAGAGCCCAGAGGGGAGCAACACUGCAAGCCCCAACUUCACUUGAACUCAUUAUCCAGUUCUUCCAGCAAGGAGGGCACUGCCUCCCAAACAGCACUCAAGGGAAUGGUAACGGAGACAACUCCCGAUCAAGUGACACAGAAAGAGAGCAAGCAGCACAAAGAAAGGGGUCUUUUCAUCUAUGCUGUGUGUGCUUGUGUAGGUGAGUGCACAUGGAAGUGUGCGAUUAAUACCGUAUAGAAUUGUAGGCGUGCAGCCGCAUGUAAACACUGGCUCUGAAAUUCAUCUAUAUUUCCAUUUCCCAGAAUAGCAUGUACAGAAAAAGAGGUUUUAUCUUCUAGUAGCCUGGCUGGUUUAGCAAGAGAUCCUGCCUCUGACACUGACCUACAGUCUCAGUUAGUCAUGGUUACACUCCAACAAAUUUAAACUCCCCCAUCUGUGAAGGAGCCUUGUCACCAGUUUUACUGUGAGACUGAAUCAAUUAAUGCUUUCUAAAAGCUUUGAUGGAAGGAGCACAAUAUUAACACUUGCAGUUGAGCGAUGCUAGCUAAAAAUGUCUUUAGUAACAUUAACAAAUAUGUUUUAAAAUCACUAUCAAAGGGUUGGACCACCAAGACUAGGCCACCAUCGGUACAGCUAACCCAUUUCGUGUUAGUCUCAUAUCACCAUUUCAGAUGGACAAGUGAAAAAGCAGAGCGUGAUUCUCACCUCUCAUGGAAACAGCAUCCCAUAGAAAUCACAAAAGACAGAGAAGCCGUUAAGUAGCUGUGGUAAAGAAAGUGUGAUAAGGACGAAAAGAGGAAGACCAACAGAACAUCGAGCACUGACAGAAAAGGGGGUGAAGGCUUAGCCAGAUCUCCUGCAAAACAUGCGUGCAUGUUUCUCAAGGUCCAUGCAGGCCAUUCAGGUACAGGACUGCUGCAACCAUCUGCCACAACUGAAGAAACCGGGAGAGAAUAAAAUAACCCCCUUAAUUUGGAAAGGCAGUUUUCAAAAGGUGAGGCAUCAGGAACAGCACAAAAGGCACGCAGGACAUCCCAGGGUGGUGGUGAUGAUGAUGUAGUAAGUGGUGUUUUUCCCACUGAAGCAUGAGAGAACGAUGCCACAGCGCAGACCUGGAAGGACCUUCCAGCUGGAGAGAUCCAUUUCAGAUUAAAUGCAGACCCGAGGUUCUGACCAGCUCUUGCCACUUGAGGCCAAAUUUGACAUGCUGACCUAUUCAUAAGAAGGUAAGAUCAGCUUUUACAUGACAGGCAAAUAAUCUCAGUGUUUCCCUGAAAUGAUAAAUAGCUCCGCUUUGGACAUGAAUCAGUCUCACUUUAGACUGAAGCCUUUACCUGUGUAAAUGUAUUUGGAAUUUCUGUAGGGAAAGGCACCUUCUGAUCAUUUCUGAGUCAAAACUGAGGGCUUUUGUGCAAUCACUGCUGGAGGACCAGAGCACGGUAAGAGGCCAGUGUCCCUCUGGCAUCCUCUUCCCAUCCAAGUGCAGCAAAGAGGCUGCAGCCUGUUCUGUGCAACACUUCCUAUGUCUUUGUGACUUUCCAAAUGGAUUUUUCUAACUCACUUAUUUUAAAUUGGGGCACAGUGGAAAUCCACAUGGAAAUUAGCAAAGUAUAUCCUUUCUAUAACCGCACCACCUGCUGCCGGCUGCUCCACAGCUGUCCCACCAGCAUCCGUUUCGAUUCUGAGUUCAAUUCAGAGUCUUCAUUACCUAUGAAUCCCUGACAGAUUAAGGUCUAUAUACUCUAGUGGUCAGCACGGUCCUUGUGUUUUAACCUCCAGCUGAGGUCAACUGAGAUCGAGCUGACCUUAAACGUUUUCAUUUGGGUCACAGAACGUGAUGUGGAUGGUUCUCUGAAGUAUUUUCCCACUUCAGUCUAACAAAGCCACAGCGUAUUAUAUUUCAAGUCAUAAGGCAAAAAUCUCGUUCACUAGGCUCUCUGGGAAAGGAACUGAUGUCCAGUGACGUGAACAAGAAUGAAGUCCUUCUUUUCUUUGGUCGGUUGGAGACUGUUUCAGCAACACUAUCACAGCAACACCUUGAUGUGGCUUCACAUACGAUACUUUUAGUAAUGGAGUGCUCUUAAAGCUUAGUCACACUGCGUAACUCCACCUUGAUGUGCUGCAUUCGUGUCACAAAGGUGGGAAAGUGGAUCCUGGAUAAAAGUCCUGCCCAAGACAAGACUCCAAGCUGAAGACUCCAAUUAUCUAUAAAUCACUUGUAUUUCCUGCAGAGAAAGAGAAAAAGGAGGGAAGAGCGAGACAGACAGAAAAACAGAGACAGAGGAUAUGCCAAGUGAAAUAUUUGAUACCUGUCCUAAACCAAAUUUCUCUCAAAGCAGCCAGGAGUUACCUGAUACCUCAAAACCAAGCUCAGUGGAAGCAUGUUGCCCGUUUUGAUUUUGGCUUAAUAUUGAAAUAAAGUCAUUUUCUUUUACUUGUUCCAUCAGCAUAAAAUGUGUAACAUCUUAACAUAUUUCUGAGAUGAUAGCACUAUAUAUGCUGAAUUACUAAAGGUGACUAUCCAGUUUACAUUCUCACAGACAGGAAGAGGUGAUUGCUGACGACUGUUACCUUUUUCAAAGAUUUUUAGAACCCAUUCUCUAGUUUUUGCACAGAGAAAUGCAGGUACACUUAUUAAUGCAAACAGUGAUACUACUCCCAAGUUGUUAUCUACUGAACACUCCUGGAACACAUUUUACACUGAAACCAGCAACAAACAACAUUCAUGCCAAAUACUGUUUGCACAGUGAGAUUGCUCCCAAAGUGUAACACCAUACAACAUCAAAUAACUACUAUUUGUUUAAACUCUUCAUUUAAACUAUCUGCAAAGAAAUCAUAC